AAUAAAUGUAGUUUUAUGUUGUUCAUAUUCAACGUUUGACUAUUUGUCUUAUUUUUAAAAUAUUUAUGAUUAGUAUUUUUAUUGUUGUUACUCUUAGAUGAUAAAACAUGAAUUGUAUUUUAUGCGUGACUAUUAUUUUAUAUUUAUUUAUUUAUUUAUUUAGAUAAAACGAACGAUCAAAUAUUGAAUACGAAUACCAUGGCUGCACUUAUU
rfam:Oryza sativa (indica cultivar-group) chromosome 7, whole genome shotgun sequence.